GACGAACGCUGGCGGCGUGCCCAAUACAAGCAAGUAGAACGCUGAAGGAGGAGCUUGCUUCUCCGGAUGAGUUGCGAACGGGUGAGUAACGCGUAGGUAACCUGCCUGGUAGCGGGGGAUAACUAUUGGAAACGAUAGCUAAUACCGCAUAAGAGUAGAUGUCGCAUGACAUUUGCUUAAAAGGUGCAACUGCACCACUACCAGAUGGACCUGCGUUGUAUUAGCUAGUUGGUGGGGUAACGGCUCACCAAGGCAACGAUACAUAGCCGACCUGAGAGGGUGAUCGGCCACACUGGGACUGGGACACGGCCCAGACUCCUACGGGAGGCAGCAGUAGGGAAUCUUCGGCAAUGGACGGAAGUCUGACCGAGCAACGCCGCGUGAGUGAAGAAGGUUUUCGGAUCGUAAAGCUCUGUUGUAAGAGAAGAACGAGUGUGAGAGUGGAAAGUUCACACUGUGACGGUAUCUUACCAGAAAGGGACGGCUAACUACGUG
rnacentral:rRNA from 1 species